AACGAACGCUGGCGGCAUGCCUUACACAUGCAAGUCGAACGGGCUUUGGGGCUUGCCCCAAAGUUAGUGGCGAACGGGUGAGUAAUAUAUCGGAACGUGCCCUAGAGUGGGGGAUAACUAGUCGAAAGACUAGCUAAUACCGCAUACGAUCUACGGAUGAAAGUGGGGGGACCGCAAGGCCUCACGCUCCUGGAGCGGCCGAUAUCUGAUUAGCUAGUUGGCGGGGUAAAAGCCCACCAAGGCGACGAUCAGUAGCUGGUCUGAGAGGACGAUCAGCCACACUGGGACUGAGACACGGCCCAGACUCCUACGGGUGGCUG
rnacentral:rRNA from 1 species